rnacentral:snoRNA from 1 species
UAAUGAUGAAACACCAGCUGGCACCAGUCCUAAACGACUUGUACUCUGUGCAUGUGGACAAGCUUUGCAAACACACGUUGUUAUGUCCUGAU